UAAGGAAUAUUGCGCAAUGGGCGACAGCCUGACGCAGCGACGCCGCGUGGGGGAUGAAGGUCUUCGGAUUGUAAACCCUUUCGGCAGGGAAGAUGGAGCGGGCAACCGCUCGGACGGUACCUGCAGAAGCAGCCACGGCUAACUUCGUGCCAGCAGCCGCGGUAAUACGAAGGUGGCAAGCGUUGUUCGGAUUUACUGGGCGUACAGGGAGCGUAGGCGGUUGGGUAAGCCCUUCGUGAAAUCUCCGGGCCUAACCCGGAAAGUGCGGAGGGGACUGCUCGGCUAGAGGAUGGGAGAGGAGCGCGGAAUUCCCGGUGUAGCGGUGAAAUGCGUAGAGAUCGGGAGGAAGGCCGGUGGCGAAGGCGGCGCUCUGGAACAUUUCUGACGCUGAGGCUCGAAAGCGUGGGGAGCAAACA
rnacentral:rRNA from 1 species